rnacentral:tRNA from 1 species
GAUAAGAUUAGUGGUUAGAGCGUAGGUCUCGUAACCGAAGGGUUGCGGGAUCGAAUCCCGCUAGCG